rnacentral:rRNA from 1 species
GACGAACGCUGGCGGCGUGCCUAAUACAUGCAAGUAGAACGCUGAAGAGAGGAGCUUGCUCUUCUUGGAUGAGUUGCGAACGGGUGAGUAACGCGUAGGUAACCUGCCUGGUAGCGGGGGAUAACUAUUGGAAACGAUAGCUAAUACCGCAUAAAAUUGAUUAUUGCAUGAUAAUUAAUUGAAAGAUGCAAUUGCAUCACUACCAGAUGGACCUGCGUUGUAUUAGCUAGUUGGUGAGGUAACGGCUCACCAAGGCGACGAUACAUAGCCGACCUGAGAGGGUGAUCGGCCACACUGGGACUGGGACACGGCCCAGACUCCUGCGGGAGGCAGCAGUAGGGAAUCUUCGGCAAUGGGGGGAACCCUGACCGAGCAACGCCGCGUGAGUGAAGAAGGUUUUCGGAUCGUAAAGCUCUGUUGUAAGAGAAGAACGGGUGUGAGAGUGGAAAGUUCACACUGUGACGGUAUCUUACCAGAAAGGGACGGCUAACUACGUGCCAGCAGCCGCGGUAAUACGUAGGUCCCGAGCGUUGUCCGGAUUUAUUGGGCGUAAAGCGAGCGCAGGCGGUUAGAUAAGUCUGAAGUUAAAGGCUGUGGCUUAACCAUAGUAUGCUUUGGAAACUGUUUAACUUGAGUGCAGAAGGGGAGAGUGGAAUUCCAUGUGUAGCGGUGAAAUGCGUAGAUAUAUGGAGGAACACCGGUGGCGAAAGCGGCUCUCUGGUCUGUAACUGACGCUGAGGCUCGAAAGCGUGGGGAGCAAACAGGAUUAGAUACCCUGGUAGUCCACGCCGUAAACGAUGAGUGCUAGGUGUUAGGCCCUUUCCGGGGCUUAGUGCCGCAGCUAACGCAUUAAGCACUCCGCCUGGGGAGUACGACCGCAAGGUUGAAACUCAAAGGAAUUGACGGGGGCCCGCACAAGCGGUGGAGCAUGUGGUUUAAUUCGAAGCAACGCGAAGAACCUUACCAGGUCUUGACAUCCCUCUGAUCGCUCUAGAGAUAGAGUUUUCCUUCGGGACAGAGGUGACAGGUGGUGCAUGGUUGUCGUCAGCUCGUGUCGUGAGAUGUUGGGUUAAGUCCCGCAACGAGCGCAACCCCUAUUGUUAGUUGCCAUCAUUCAGUUGGGCACUCUAGCGAGACUGCCGGUAAUAAACCGGAGGAAGGUGGGGAUGACGUCAAAUCAUCAUGCCCCUUAUGACCUGGGCUACACACGUGCUACAAUGGCUGGUACAACGAGUCGCAAGCCGGUGACGGCAAGCUAAUCUCUGAAAGCCAGUCUCAGUUCGGAUUGUAGGCUGCAACUCGCCUACAUGAAGUCGGAAUCGCUAGUAAUCGCGGAUCAGCACGCCGCGGUGAAUACGUUCCCGGGCCU